GAGAGUUUGAUCCUGGCUCAGAACGAACGCUGGCGGCGUGGCUAAGGCAUGCAAGUCGAACGGAUUCGGAGUUUGGGUAACUGAACUCCGGGUUAGUGGCGGACGGGUGAGGAAUACAUGGAUAACGUACCCCGGGCACGGGAAUAGCGGCGUCCCGAGAAAUCGGGACUUUGCGAAAGCGCCGGUAAUACCCGAUGACCCCGCGGGAGCACAUGCUCCUGCGGGCAAAGCUCCGACGGCCUGGGAUCGGUCCAUGUCCUAUCAGCUAGUUGGUGAGGUAACGGCUCACCAAGGCGACGACGGGUAGCGGGUGUGGGAGCAUGACCCGCCACAUCGGGACUGAGACACUGCCCGGACACCUACGGGUGGCUGCAGCAACGAAUAUUCCGCAAUGGGCGCAAGCCUGACGGAGCGACGCCGCGUGCAGGAUGAAGUCUCUCGGGAUGUAAACUGCUGUCAGGGGCUGGAAAGCAAGUGAUCGGCCCCAGAGGAAGCCUCGGCAAACUCCGUGCCAGCAGCCGCGGUAAUACGGAGGAGGCUAGCGUUGUUCGGAAUCACUGGGCUUAAAGGGCGUGUAGGCGGAGUGCAAGGUGCUUUGUGAAAUCCCCCGGCUUAACCGGGGAACUGCUUGGCAAACCAGCAUUCUUGAGGCAGGCAGGGGCGACUGGAACCUUUGGUGGAGAGGUGAAAUUCGUAGAUAUCAAAGGGAAUGCCGAUGGCGAAAGCGAGUCGCUGGGCCUGUCCUGACGCUGAGGCGCGAAAGCGUAGGGAGCGAACGGGAUUAGAUACCCCGGUAGUCUACGCCUUAAACGAUGCGCACUAGGCAUGAGGGCUACUGACAGUCUUUGUGCCGAAGCAAAAGUGUUAAGUGCGCCGCCUGGGGAGUACGGCCGCAAGGCUAAAACUCAAAGGAAUUGACGGGGGCUCACACAAGCGGUGGAGCAUGUGGAUUAAUUCGAAGCAACGCGAAGAACCUUACCUGGGUUUGACAUGCACGGAUGCCCUUCCCGAAAGGGGAGUAAGCUGCCUUCGGGUGAAACGUGCACAGGUGUUGCAUGGCUGUCGUCAGCUCGUGCUGUGAAGUGUCGGGUUAAGUCCCUUAACGAGCGAAACCCCUGUCGCUAGUUGCCAGCGGGUCAUGCCGGGAACUCUAGCGAGACUGCCGGCGUUAAGCCGGAGGAAGGCGGGGAUGACGUCAAGUCAUCAUGGCCUUUAUGUCCAGGGUGUCACACGUGCUACAAUGGCGAGGACAAAGCGACGCGAGACCGCGAGGUGGAGCAAAUCGCAAAAAACUCGCCCCAGUUCGGAUUGGAGUCUGCAACCCGACUCCAUGAAGUUGGAAUCGCUAGUAAUCGCGUAUCAGCCAUGACGCGGUGAAUGUGUUCCUGAGCCUUGUACACACCGCCCGUCAAGUCAUGGGAGCUGGGAGCACCCGAAGUCCGCUUAGCUGACCGAAGGGGGGCGCUUGCCACGGUGUGGCCGAUGACUGGGGUGAAGUCGUAACAAGGUAGCCGUAG
rnacentral:rRNA from 1 species